GUCCACGCCGUAAACGAUGAUAACUAGCUGUUGGAAAGAUAAAACUUUUUAGUAGCGAAGCUAACGCGAUAAGUUAUCCGCCUGGGGAGUACGGCCGCAAGGUUAAAACUCAAAGGAAUUGACGGGGGCCCGCACAAGCGGUGGAGCAUGUGGUUUAAUUCGAUGCAACGCGAGGAACCUUACCUACUCUUGACAUCCUCAGAACUUGUUUGAAAAACUUGGUGCCUUCGGGAACUGAGAGACAGGUGCUGCAUGGCUGUCGU
rnacentral:rRNA from 1 species